rnacentral:rRNA from 1 species
GACGAACGCUGGCGGCGUGCUUAACACAUGCAAGUCGAGCGGUAAGGCCCUUUCGGGGGUACACGAGCGGCGAACGGGUGAGUAACACGUGGGUGACCUGCCCUCAGCUCUGGGAUAAGCCUGGGAAACUGGGUCUAAUACUGGAUAUGACUCCACGGUGCAUGUCGUGGGGUGGAAAGCCUUGUGCGGCUGAGGAUGGGCCCGCGGCCUAUCAGCUUGUUGGUGGGGUGANGGCCUACCAAGGCGACGACGGGUAGCCGGCCUGAGAGGGCGACCGGCCACACUGGGACUGAGACACGGCCCAGACUCCUACGGGAGGCAGCAGGUGGGGAAUCUUGCGCAAUGGGCGAAAGCCUGACGCAGCGACGCCGCGUGAGGGAUGACGGCCUGG